rnacentral:rRNA from 1 species
GUCGUACGAGAGUUUUUAACUCAAGUGGCGGACGGGUGAGUAACACGUAAGAAUUUACCUUUAGGAGGGGGAUAACAACUGGAAACGGUUGCUAAUACCCCAUAUGCUUUCGAGUGAAAUGGUUUUUCCGCCUAAAGAGAAGCUUGCGGCUGAUUAGCUUGUUGGGGAGGUAAUGGCUCACCAAGGCGACGAUCAGUAUCUGGUUUGAGAGGACGAUCAGACACACUGGAACUGAGACACGGUCCAGACUCCUACGGGAGGCAGCAGUGGGGAAUUUUCCGCAAUGGGCGAAAGCCUGACGGAGCAAUACCGCGUGAGGGAUGACGGCCUAUGGGUUGUAAACCUCUUUUUUCAGGGAGGAAUAAAUGACGUGUACCUGAGGAAUAAGCAUCGGCUAACUCCGUGCCAGCAGCCGCGGUAAUACG